rnacentral:rRNA from 1 species
AUUGAACGCUGGCGGCAUGCCUUACACAUGCAAGUCGAACGGCAGCACGGGAGCAAUCCUGGUGGCGAGUGGCGAACGGGUGAGUAAUAUAUCGGAACGUGCCCGGUCGUGGGGGAUAACGUAGCGAAAGCUACGCUAAUACCGCAUACGAUCUACGGAUGAAAGCGGGGGAGUCGCAAGACCUCGCGCGAUUGGAGCGGCCGAUAUCAGAUUAGGUAGUUGGUGAGGUAAAGGCUCACCAAGCCGACGAUCUGUAGCUGGUCUGAGAGGACGACCAGCACACUGGGACUGAGACACGGCCCAGACUCCUACCGGGAGGCAGCAGU